CAGUAGCCGCGGGAAUACGUAGGGUGCAAGCGUUAAUCGGAAUUACUGGGCGUAAAGCGUGCGCAGGCGGUUUGUUAAGACAGAUGUGAAAUCCCCGGGCUCAACCUGGGAACUGCAUUUGUGACUGGCAAGCUAGAGUGUGGCAGAGGGGGGUGGAAUUCCGCGUGUAGCAGUGAAAUGCGUAGAUAUGCGGAGGAACACCGAUGGCGAAGGCAGCCCCCUGGGCCAACACUGACGCUCAUGCACGAAAGCGUGUGGAGCAAACAGGAUUAGAUACCCCUGUAGUCCCUGUCUCUUAUAC
rnacentral:rRNA from 1 species